UACGGAGGGUGCAAGCGUUAAUCGGAAUUACUGGGCGUAAAGCGCACGUAGGUGGUUUGCUAAGUCAGCUGUGAAAUCCCCGGGCUCAACCUGGGCACUGCAGUUGAAACUGGCAAGCUAGAGUAGGGUAGAGGGGUGUGGAAUUCCAGGUGUAGCGGUGAAAUGCGUAGAUAUCUGGAGGAACAUCAGUGGCGAAGGCGACACCCUGGACCGGCAUUGACGCUGAGGCGCGAAAGCCAGGGGGAGCAAACGGG
rnacentral:rRNA from 1 species